rnacentral:rRNA from 1 species
CCAGACUCCUACGGGAGGCAGCAGUGAGGAAUAUUGGUCAAUGGCCGAGAGGCUGAACCAGCCAAGUCGCGUGAGGGAAGACGGCCCUACGGGUUGUAAACCUCUUUUGUCGGGGAGCAAAGAGAGUCACGUGUGACUCAUUGAGAGUACCCGAAGAAAAAGCAUCGGCUAACUCCGUGCCAGCAGCCGCGGUAAUACGGAGGAUGCGAGCGUUAUCCGGAUUUAUUGGGUUUAAAGGGUGCGUAGGCGGGUUAUCAAGUCAGCGGUAAAAUCGUGGAGCUCAACUCCAUCCAGCCGUUGAAACUGAUGAUCUUGAGUGGGCGAGAAGUAUGCGGAAUGCGCGGUGUAGCGGUGAAAUGCAUAGAUAUCGCGCAGAACUCCGAUUGCGAAGGCAGCAUGCCGGCUCCACACUGACGCUGAGGCACGAAGGCGUGGGUAUCGAACAGGAUUAGAUACCCCUGUAC